rnacentral:tRNA from 1 species
AGACAGUUUGGCCGAGUGGUCUAAGGCGCCAGAUUUAGGCUCUGGUCCGAAAGGGCGUGGGUUCAAAUCCCACAGCUGUCAACUCUUUUUUUUCAUAUUCUCGUCUCUCUCUUGAACGCAAGUGUAAUGAAAAACCCAUUGUCUGAUUUAUAUUCUAACAACCUCUUCGAACUUAAUAAAUAUGCGACAGUUUGGCCGAGUGGUCUAAGGCGCCAGAUUUAGGCUCUGGUCCGAAAGGGCGUGGGUUCAAAUCCCACAGCUGUCAACUCC